rnacentral:miRNA from 1 species
GGAGGCAGAGGCAAGAGGA